rfam:Triticum aestivum genome assembly, contig: Triticum_aestivum_CS42_TGACv1_scaffold_031675_1BL
AACAUACUCCCUCCGUCCCAAAAUUCUUGUCUUAGAUUUGUCUAAAUACGGAUGUAUCUAGUCACGUUUUAGUAUUAGAGAUACAUCCGUAUCUAGACAAAUCUAAGACAAGAAUUUUGGGACGGAGGGAGUACAUA